rnacentral:rRNA from 1 species
CCUACGGGCGGCAGCAGUCGAGAAUCAUUCACAAUGGGGGAAACCCUGAUGGUGCGACGCCGCGUGGGGGAAUGAAGGUCUUCGGAUUGUAAACCCCUGUCAUGUGGGAGCAAAUUAAAAAGAUAGUACCACACGAGGAAGAGACGGCUAACUCUGUGCCAGCAGCCGCGGUAAUACAGAGGUCUCAAGCGUUGUUCGGAAUCACGGGGCGUAAAGCGUGCGUAGGCUGUUUCGUAAGUCGUGUGUGAAAGGCGCGGGCUCAACCCGCGGACGGCACAUGAUACUGCGAGACUAGAGUAAUGGAGGGGGAACCGGAAUUCUCGGUGUAGCAGUGAAAUGCGUAGAUAUCGAGAGGAACACUCGUGGCGAAGGCGGGUUCCUGGACAUUAACUGACGCUGAGGCACGAAGGCCAGGGGAGCGAAAGGGAUUAGAUACCCCAGUAGUC